UUGGGGGUGGGGGGCAGGGGGCAAGUGAAACUCGCUGCUGCUGCUGCCGCUGCUGCCUCUCAGCCGCAGGAAGCCCUGGGAGUUAAUAUUGCAGUCAUCAUAGGCAGAGCUUGCUGCUUUUGCAUGACUCCCAUGUCAAGACAAGAUGAACUGUGCCCUGAACAUGCUUGCUCCUUGAAGUAUAAAGCAGAUCUGGAAAACAGCUUCAUCUGAGUCAGGCUCAAACUUGAAAUUGAGUGCUGUAGCUAAACCAAAAGCAUUUUUGAGGGGACUACAGCACACAGCAUCUAGUAGGAGACUGAAGGGUCACUGGAGAGCUACGAGGUGGAAAAGAAGCUCUCUAGAGAAGACGAGAGAGUUGGCUAUGCUCAAAUGGAAUUUCACUCCUGGAAUUUCUCAAGAAGAUUUAUAUUUUUAAUAAAUAACUGGGUUUAUUUUAAUAAAUAAACAUGGCAGCAUCAGCUAUAAAGUGAAGGAUGGGAAUAUUCAGCAGGAAGAGAUGUUGGCCUUUACAAAUAAAAUGAAAGUAGUUUGUAAUCAUGCAAAAUGUCCUUAAAGAUGAAUCGGAAUCCUGCUUGAAGCCAGAAGUUCAUUACACAGAAAAGCAAAAGGGGGAAAUAAAGUACCUCCUUCUGUUACUUACCACAUUCUGACCAUGAGAUGCUAUGUUACAGGCUUGCCAAGUAGGCAAAUGCAAUUCUAAGUUAUAUCAAAUGAGCUGUUUCCAGUAGAGAAAGGAAAACAGGAAUGCUGUGCUCUGCCAUGCACUGAGACUUCCUGUGGAAUUCUAUGAACAAAACCUGCAGAAAUGGAGGCUAUCACAAGUGACUAAAAUGAGGUCUAAAGACCCGAGAAAAGAGCAUGAGACCUUGCAGAAGGGAUUAAAGCAACAUCUGAAGGCUUUGCUGAAAGGCUUGGGAGAUGGCCUGAGACUGGAGGUAAAAUUUUUUAGGGGCAGCAGAAGCUGGAACAAGUUCAAAAUAAAUGAAUAAGGAACCAGUAACCAGAUGGCUGAGAACCAGCAGCUUUUCCGGGGACAGGGAAGGCCAAAGAAUCUUUGGCAAGCUUGGAGGUUACUAACUGAGCAGGACAGCAGUGAGGAUUAAAAAAGCUAAAAAUACCAACAGCACAAGGAAAUCAGAAAGUUGCAAAAGUCAAAAACCUGAUGUGGAAUGAAGGCUGCCAGAGGACUUCUGCUGCCUAGCCUCAUAACACUGUUUCAACUGCAGAAACUGGGAGGGAAGAUGCUGAACAAAUUGUACCAAUACACAAGAAACUGGCUGAAAAAGUUGCAGUGAAUGAUCUGAGAAGGCAUGACCGGAACCUUUAUGUCAGAGAAGAUGGACAGCAAUAGUGUUUCCCAGGAACCAAACAGGUCUGAAACAUUACCUGCAUGGAGAAAAAAA